GUGAAUCAUCGAAUCUUUGAACGCAAAUUGCGCUUCCUGGUAUCCCGGGAAGUAUGCCUGUUUGAGGGUCAGUAUUAACAAAAAAUCGGUUUGGGUGCAAAUUGUGACGUUUCCGGGGUUUGGGCUUAUCUUAAAUUUUUUUGUUAAGGGGCUUAAAAUUUACCUUUUUUGCGCCUUUUUAGACGUAAAUAAAUUUUUUUUUUAUUGUUUUUUCUUAAUUCCAAAAUUUUAUUAGAUGCGAUUAA
rnacentral:misc_RNA from 1 species